rnacentral:rRNA from 1 species
GAUGAACGCUGGCGGCGUGCUUAACACAUGCAAGUCGAACGGUGAAGGCGGAGCUUUCUCUGCUGGAUCAGUGGCGAACGGGUGAGUAACACGUGAGCAAUCUGCCCCUGACUCUGGGAUAAGCGCUGGAAACGGCGUCUAAUACUGGAUACGAUCUGCUAAGGCAUCUUCAGCAGUUGUAAAGAAGUUCGGUCAGGGAUGAGCUCGCGGCCUAUCAGCUUGUUUGUGAGGUAAUGGCUCACCAAGCCGUCGACGGGUAGCCGGCCUGAGAGGGUGACCGGCCACACUGGGACUGAGACACGGCCCAGACUCCUACGGGAGGCAGCAGUGGGGAAUCUUGCACAAUGGGCGAAAGCCUGAUGCAGCAACGCCGCGUGAGGGAAGACGGCCUUCGGGUUGUAAACCUCUUUUAGAAGGGAAGAAGCGAAAGUGACGGUACCUGCAGAAAAAGCGACGGCUAACUACGUG